rnacentral:lncRNA from 10 species
GCCGCCGUCCCGCGCCCGCUAGCGCUCGGCGUCCCCCGCCCCCCGCUCCGUGGCUGUCACCGGCCGGUCCCCCCGGCCGUCCCCGCCCGCCUCCCCCUGUCUCUUUCCAUCUCCCGGUCUCCGCGGCGUUUCUCUGCCUCCUUCCUCGCCUCUCCCGGCCUCUCUGGCUGUCCCCGGCUCUCUUCCUCACUGCCUCUCUCUUUUUCUCUUACCCCUCUCUCCUCGGCUGCUCUCACCACUUCCUCCCUCCCUCUCCGGCUUCCUUCUACCUCCCCUCACUCUCCCCCCUUUCUCGCCUUGCUCAGGGGGACUCGCUAUCUCUUUCUCUGUCUCUCCUUGGAACAGCGGCCCCCAAAAUGCAACUGAAGCCAUUUCCCUGCUCUGAGACCUCGGACAAGUCACUCCCCGCCAGGGCUGCAGUUUCCUGUCUCUAAAAGGAGUUGAUGAGCAGCUCUAGGUGGGGUGGCGAUGGGGGACGCAGGAGGUGCCCCGUGCCUGUGGUCCCCUGUUGAAGUUCACGCCUCCUCAAAUGCAGCGGCCACCCAGCGCUCGCUGGGUGCCAUGUGUGCCCCACAAAACACCUUUCCUCAGCCUCGAGGACAAGUACCAGAGGCCAGUUCCGCGGGAAAAGUUAAUGGUGGUUUCCUCCAGGGUCCCUAAAGCCCCUCCUGAAAAGUGACUGUGGUUCCCCUCCCCCUGUCCUCAGGUUUUGAGUGGGCACAACCUAAGCUGGAUCUGAUAGGCCCUGUCACCUGCUGGUUCCUCCCUGGUUGACACCAAGCAGAGGGGCAAUGCUCUCUCGCUGUCCUUAGACCCAAGCAGGAGAAAAAUCUACCCUCCCUCCUUCCCUCCCCAUUCCCCAUCACACCAUGAUUGGCUUUUAAGCUUCAGGGAUGUUUCCCGGACCGAGUGUGGCUUCAGAGUCAGAGAGAUGUGAGUUCAAGACCACUUGCUUAGGUGGCUUUUGUGGACAAGAUGCGACCACCUCAUGAGGAUCAAGAUGUACUCCUUGCUCUUCUCUGCACAGCAGUCUCAAAACUAGGCUACACCGUCUGUCUCCUCUGGUCACCAUUUUGAGAGGCAGCAAGGGUCUUCCUAACCCUCAGCUCCCUCUGAUUUUUGGAAUUCAGAUUUGGAUUUUGGAUGUACAUCAAGAGGCUGGCUCCACGCAUUUUAAUUAAGUUGUCUUUUUUCAUUUAUUACUAAUACACUCCUCUUAACUAUGAUUUAUUGGUUAAACAAAGCACCAUAAGCCGUCACUUAUUCAUCUUAAUUUCAACAAAAUUAAAGUAGUCGCUGUUAGAUUGCACCUAAUUGCACUUGCAAUGAAAAGAACGGAGAUGUUAAUCAAAAUAAAUUGAAGAUAAACAAUAAAAUCAUUACAUCUUUGCGGU